CUACGGGUUGCAGCAGUGGGGAGUAUUGCACAAUGGAGGAAACUCUGAUGCAGCAACGCCGCGUGGAGGAUGACACUUUUCGGAGCGUAAACUCCUUUUAUAUAGGAAGAAGAUGACGGUACUAUAUGAAUAAGCGCCGGCUAACUCCGUGCCAGCAGCCGCGGUAAUACGGAGGGCGCAAGCGUUACUCGGGAUCACUGGGCGUAAAGAGCGUGUAGGCGGAUUAAAAAGUCAGAAGUGAAAUCCUAUAGCUUAACUAUAGAACUGCUUCUGAAACUCUUAAUCUAGAAUAUGGGAGAGGUAGAUGGAAUUUCUGGUGUAGGGGUAAAAUCCGUAGAGAUCAGAAGGAAUACCGAUUGCGAAGGCGAUCUACUAGAACAUUAUUGACGCUGAGACGCGAAAGCGUGGGGAGCAAACAGGAUUAGAUACCCCAGUAGUC
rnacentral:rRNA from 1 species